CUACAUCCUUUGCCAGGCACUGGCUCCCAUUCUUUAUUUUCGGCUCCCAUCUUUAACAAGAGUUGUUAACAAUCUCUUGAGCAUUGGGAGUGUCAGGUUUCUUUCCCAUGAACCACUUAGGAGUAGCAGUCUGGUGGAAAGGGGAAGCUACAGGACUUGUCUUUUUUUUUUUUUUUUUUUUUUUUUAGUGUUUAUUUACUUUUGAGAGAGAGAGACAGAGCGUGAGCAGGGGGAGGGGGAGUGGCAGAGAGAGAGGGAGACACAGAAUCUGAAGCAGGCUCCAGACUCCGAGCUGUCAGCACAGAGCCCUGACGUGGGGCUCGAAUUCACGAAAGAUGAGAUCAUGACCUGAGCCAAAGUCGGAUGCUUAACCGACUGAGCCACAGGCACCCCGCUACAAGACUUGUCUUAACUUCAUGUUGUUUCUGCAUAAAGAACGCCCAGUGAUGCUUGCCUACCAUCAAGUUUCAACAGCACGACAAUCAGGCAGCUUCCCAGUGAGUUUCAACAGAAUUCUUGUGACUUCGCAUUUAAUUCUGCCAGCAUCCUUGUGAGCAGUUUCCUGGAAUCUCAGUGGUUUUCUGGAGAGUUUGUCAGCACUCCAACUCAGCAGUCCAGCCCACAGUUUCCUGCAUUCCAGUCUCAAUGCGCAGCAAUUCAUCAAACUUCAUCAUCCAGUGACAUCAUCUGUCAUACACUCUUCCAUAAAGUCCAAUUAUUAGUCUUGGAGGAAAGGGGCCUCUUCCAAACUCGUUCCUUCCUUGAGCACAUUGCCUCAACCUUAGAAGCCGUGGCUGCUCCCUAUAUCUGCUACUGUAUUGUUUUAGAGUUCUUUUUACCCCUUAGUAGUUAAUCCCAUUACUAGUUAAUAUUUCUUUAUAUUAAAUUUUCCCUGUUUAA